rnacentral:sRNA from 1 species
GUCAGGCGGGGAGAGACGCAAACGGCGGGACCAGCAGCGACGGUAGCAGCAGCAUGGCCGCGAUCUAUGGGGGUGUAGAGGGGUGGAGUUGUGCUCAUAUCUGGAACAGGCUCCAACUGCAGGCUCAUCAACCCUGAUGGCUCCGAGAGUGGCUGCGGCGGCUGGGGCCAUAUGAUGGGUGAUGAGGGUUCAGCCUACUGGAUCGCACACCAAGCAGUGAAAAUAGUGUUUGACUCCAUUGACAACCUAGAGGCGGCUCCUCAUGAUAUCGGCUACGUCAAACAGGCCAUGUUCCACUAUUUCCAGGUGCCAGAUCGGCUAGGGAUACUCACUCACCUGUAUAGGGACUUUGAUAAAUGCAGGUUUGCUGGGUUUUGCCGGAAAAUUGCAGAAGGUACUGGAGGUGGGGGGUGGGUUUUAUCUGGCUUUGUUCUCCAAAGAUCCCCAGUUGGGAGAUUGAGUGGGGUUCAGACAGGACUGACAACAAUUUUCCUCUCACCAAGUGACCUCAGUUCUCUGCCACCACUGGCCUUGGUGGUGGUGGGCCUUGGGGUGGAGG